UAGGAUUUCCUUAGUAGCUGCGAGCGAACAGGAAAAAGCCCAGCACUGAAUCCCGCGGCCGACACCGGACGCUGGGAAAUGUGGUGUUAGGGAGGAUCCGUUAUCUUGUAGUUUUACGGCGAGUCCAAGUCCUUCUUGAACGGGGCCACAGCCCAUAGAGGGUGCCAGGCCCGUAGUGACCGCUGUUAAUUACGAGAGGAUCUCUCCUCAGAGUCGGGUUGCUUGAGAGUGCAGCCCUAAGUGGGUGGUAAACUCCAUCUAAGGCUAAAUAUAACCACGAGACCGAUAGCGAACAAGUACCGUGAGGGAAAGUUGAAAAGCACUUUGAAGAGAGAGUUAAAUAGUACGUGAAACCGUUUAGGGGUAAACCUGAGAAACCCGAAAGUCGAAAGGGGAGAUUCAGCGUGUCUCAAUUGCGGCGUUGGAUAGUUGUGCGACAAUUUACUCUUUUGAAUAUUUUGCGCCUUCAGUUCUUCGAACCGUAGUUGAACGCGUGCACUUCUCCCUUAGUAGAACGUUGCGAUCCGUUGGGCGCCGGUUUACGGCCUGUGGUGGAGUCCAUUUGGACGGCUUGCCGUUUCAAAUGAACCCACAGUGUUUUCUAACCGGCUUGCUCGACGGUAUACAGAUGGCGUAGGGCCGCUACAUAGUUAGCGUUCGACUCGUAACAAGCGCGCUCGUUGCGUUGGUAAUCGGACCUAGUGCCGGUUCUGACCACGAGUGGCUGUUCGCUGCGAUGUUCUCGAACAGACCUUAAUGAAACGCUAAUCUGCAACGCUAUAGUUUUGGGUAAUUUCAGGACCCGUCUUGAAACACGGACCAAGGAGUCUAGCAUGUGCGCAAGUCAUUGGGACAUAAUUAAACCUAAAGGCACAAUGAAAGUAAAAGUUCGUCUUGCACGAACCAAGGGAGGAUGGGUGAUCGUUACGGCUGUUGCCCCGCACUCCCGGGGCGUCUCAUUCUUAUUGCAAGAAGAGGCGCACCAAGAGCGUACACGCUGGUACCCGAAAGAUGGUGAACUAUGCCUGGUCAGGACGAAGUCAGGGGAAACCCUGAUGGAGGUCCGUAGCGAUUCUGACGUGCAAAUCGAUCGUCGGAACUGGGUAUAGGGGCGAAAGACUAAUCGAACCAUCUAGUAGCUGGUUCCCUCCGAAGUUUCCCUCAGGAUAGCUGGCGCUCAUUGCGCACGAGUUUCAUCCGGUAAAGCGAAUGAUUAGAGGCAUUGGGGUCGAAACGGCCUCAACCUAUUCUCAAACUUUAAAUGGGUGAGAUCUUCGGCUUGCUCGAACUCUUGAAGCCGCAAGACUCGAAUCAGAGUGCCAAGUGGGCCAUUUUUG
rnacentral:rRNA from 1 species